GAAGAUGAUCAGAUACCGUCGUAGUCUUAACCAUAAACUAUGCCAACUGGGGAUCGGGUGGAGUUUAAAUAGAGACGCACUCGGGACCUUAAGAGAAAUCAAAGUAUUUGGGUUCUGGGGGGAGUAUGGUCGCAAGGCUGAAACUUAAAGGAAUUGACGGAAGGGCACCACCAGGAGUGGAGCCUGCGGCUUAAUUUGACUCAACACGGGGAAACUCACCAGGUCCGGACACAAUAAGGAUUGACAGAUUGAGAGCUCUUUCUUGAUUUUGUGGGUGGUGGUGCAUGGCCGUUCUUAGUUGGUGGAGUGAUUUGUCUGCUUAAUUGCGAUAACGAACGA
rnacentral:rRNA from 1 species